rnacentral:rRNA from 1 species
AGAUUGAACGCUGGCGGCAGGCCUAACACAUGCAAGUCGAGCGGUAGAGAGGUGCUUGCACCUCUUGAGAGCGGCGGACGGGUGAGUAAUGCCUAGGAAUCUGCCUAGUGGUGGGGGGUAACGUUCGGAAACGGACGCUAAUACCGCAUACGUCCUACGGGAGAAAGCGGGGGACCUUCGGGCCUCGCGCCAUUAGAUGAGCCUAGGUCGGAUUAGCUAGUUGGUGAGGUAAUGGCUCACCAAGGCGACGAUCCGUAACUGGUCUGAGAGGAUGAUCAGUCACACUGGAACUGAGACACGGUCCAGACUCCUACGGGAGCAGCAGUGGGGGAAUAUUGGACAAGUGGGACGAAAGCC